rnacentral:lncRNA from 1 species
GAGUCAUGUCAAGGUGAGUUCAGGUCUCCAUCCAUCAUUCUUAACCUUUCUUGCAAGUUGGCUGAUGAAGACAAGGAUCUCAUGAUUUCCACUAUGACGAUUUCCCAGGCGCAGUCACUGUAUUCCUUCUCUUUCAGGUAGACAUGGAUGCCCUGGAAGUACUUCUUCACGGCCAGUGUGGGGCCCAUCCUUCCCAGGGCAGAGUCUUCCUCUCCUGUCACCGGGCCCAGGCAGGCGUCCAGGUCAUCCAGCUGCUGAUGGAGUCCAGUGCGGAGCUGUUCCAGGAGGGUGGUGUCCCAGGCAGCAGAGGAGCGCUCUGUGUGGAAGAGGUUGAAGCUCUGCUGGAGCAUCUCAUGGAGCACAGAGAUGGCCUGGGCCUCCUGGAGCUGGCCACCCUCCACCAUCUCCUGGGGGUCACAGCCCAGGGAUCCUCCCGAGCCGUAGCUGACCAGCACCAGGGCCAUCAGUAGAGAGAGCACGAAGGCCAUGGGGAAGAUGAGGUGGCCACUGGCCUGGCUGAGGCAGCGUCUGGUGGAACCUUGAGGUAGGUUCUCUGAUGCCAUGCUUUCUAAGCAAGGCCAUUAAAUAGGGAACAUGGUAAUUUUCAUUUUCUAAUUGUUGUAAUACACUUUCACUUCCUUUUUUGAUUUUCAUUUAUGUAUUCACAACAUGAUCAAAGAAAAUGUCAUCAGUUUAAAGUGUUAAUUUUACCUAUUCCCAAUAACUUCAAAUGUACCCAUCCAAUUAAAUAUGUGUCAAUCAAAUGAGAACGUUUUUAUUAUUCAACAGUUUUACUUAAACUGUUCAACACUUUUCUGCUCAGAGUUUCAGAGCUGGAGGAAGGAGAUUCAGUGAUGGUGUUUCUCACUGGAAGCUUAUGUCACAGAAUCUAGUGAGUGUCAGUCAUUCAUUCAGGCCGUUGAUUCCAGUGGGCAUCUCUGUUCCUCUGUCUCUUUCUCCCUCUGAGAAUGAAGGACGGUGAGAACCAGGCUACUGGUUCAGGGAGAAAUAGCCUUCUUUCCUUUACUUGAGUAUACUUUUUCACUUAGUUUCUACAUUCAGUUAGUGACUUUUUGGCCAGGAUUUGUCUUGCUGCUCCUGUUCUAGUUCUAAAUCACGUUGAGGUAAGAAAAAUAAAGCGAAGUAAGGAAAGGCA